AGCGAACGCUGGCGGCGUGCUUAACACAUGCAAGUCGAGUGCGCGUUUCUGUAGCAAUACAGGAAUGGCGCACGGCGCACGGGUGCGUAACACGUGGGUAAUCUGCCCUCUGAUGGGGAAUAACCCGCCGAAAGGCGGGCUAAUUCCGCAUAACAUUCCGGGGACCUCGGUCUCUGGAUUCAAAGGCGUAAGUCGUCGGAGGAGGAGCCCGCGCACGAUUAGCUAGUGGUAGGUAACGGCCUACCAAGGCUAUGAUCGUUAGCUGGUCUGAGAGGAUGGCCAGCCACACUGGAACUGAGACACGGUCCAGACUCCUACGGGAGGCAGCAGUGGGGAAUCUUGCGCAAUGGGCGAAAGCCUGACGCAGCGACGCCGCGUGGGGGAUGAAGCUUUUCGGAGUGUAAACCCCUUUCGACCCGGACGAAUGCCCCGCAAGGGGAUUGACGGUACGGGUAUAAGAAGCCCCGGCUAACUACGUGCCAGCAGCCGCGGUAA
rnacentral:rRNA from 1 species